rnacentral:tRNA from 2 species
AGGCUUGUAGCUCAGGUGGUCAGAGCGCACCCCUGAUAAGGGUGAGGUCGGUGGUUCAAGUCCACUCAGGCCUA